CCUGUAGCUUAGCCUGGUUUGAGCGCUGGUCUUAUAAGCCAGUGGUCCGGGGUUCAAAUCCCCGCAGGCCCA
rnacentral:tRNA from 1 species